rnacentral:snoRNA from 1 species
GCCCAAUGAUGACACCAAGGCGAAUGUGAGCUCAUUGGGUAAGAGUCUGAGCUCUUCUGUGCUCCUAUUGGCUGGUAAUCUUGGCUGGGCAGGGGAGAUUUGCUGCUUUGCAGUAAGGGCCCGCCUACAUAAAGCAAGUUCUUCCUAUCAAGCUCUUCCUCAGAGAAAUGCAGGAGAGAUUUGGGAAGGAUGAUCAUAAUGUGUGUGUGUGUGUGUGGACACAGGUUGAAGCUCAGUUCUCUAUAAUGUCCAAUGAGCUAUGAGCUAGUUCUUUUUUGUAAUCUGAGGGCA